rnacentral:rRNA from 1 species
GCAGGCCUAACACAUGCAAGUCGAGCGGUAGAGAGAAGCUUGCUUCUCUUGAGAGCGGCGGACGGGUGAGUAAUGCCUAGGAAUCUGCCUGGUAGUGGGGGAUAACGUUCGGAAACGGACGCUAAUACCGCAUACGUCCUACGGGAGAAAGCAGGGGACCUUCGGGCCUUGCGCUAUCAGAUGAGCCUAGGUCGGAUUAGCUAGUUGGUGAGGUAAUGGCUCACCAAGGCGACGAUCCGUAACUGGUCUGAGAGGAUGAUCAGUCGCACUGGAACUGAGACACGGUCCAGACUCCUACGGGAGGCAGCAGUGGGGAAUAUUGGACAAUGGGCGAAAGCCUGAUCCAGCCAUGCCGCGUGUGUGAAGAAGGUCUUCGGAUUGUAAAGCACUUUAAGUUGGGAGGAAGGGUUGUAGAUUAAUACUCUGCAAUUUUGACGUUACCGACAGAAUAAGCACCGGCUAACUCUGUGCCAGCAGCCGCGGUAAUACAGAGGGUGCAAGCGUUAAUCGGAAUUACUGGGCGUAAAGCGCGCGUAGGUGGUUUGUUAAGUUGGAUGUGAAAUCCCCGGGCUCAACCUGGGAACUGCAUUCAAAACUGACUGACUAGAGUAUGGUAGAGGGUGGUGGAAUUUCCUGUGUAGCGGUGAAAUGCGUAGAUAUAGGAAGGAACACCAGUGGCGAAGGCGACCACCUGGACUAAUACUGACACUGAGGUGCGAAAGCGUGGGGAGCAAAC